rnacentral:rRNA from 1 species
UACGAAGGGGGCGAGCGUUGUUCGGAUUUACUGGGCGUAAGGGCGCGCAGGCGGCUUAUUUUGUCAGGCGUGAAAGCCCCGGGCUUAACCUGGGAACUGCGUUUGAUACGGAUGGGCUAGAGUUCGGGAGAGGAGAGUGGAAUUCCCAGUGUAGAGGUGAAAUUCGUAGAUAUUGGGAAGAACACCGGUGGCGAAGGCGGCUCUCUGGACCGAUACUGACGCUGAG